UCGGGAAUUUUGGGCAAUGGGCGAAAGCCUGACCCAGCAACGCCGCGUGAGGGAUGAAGUAUUUCGGUAUGUAAACCUCGAAAGAAUGGGAAGAAUAAAUGACGGUACCAUUUAUAAGCUCCGGCUAACUACGUGCCAGCAGCCGCGGUGAUACGUAGGGAGCAAGCGUUGUUCGGAUUUACUGGGCGUAAAGGGCGCGUAGGCGGCGCGGUAAGUCACUUGUGAAAUCUCUGAGCUUAACUCAGAACGGCCAAGUGAUACUGCUGUCCUAGAGUGCGGAAGAGGCAACCGGAAUUCUUGGUGUAGCGGUGAAAAGCGUAGAUAUCAAGAGGAACACCUGAGGCGAAGGCGGGUUGCUGGGCCGACACUGACGCUGAUGCGCGAAAGCCAGGGGAGCAGACG
rnacentral:rRNA from 1 species